rnacentral:lncRNA from 1 species
UCCCAGGUUCAAGCGAUUCUCCUGCCUCAGCCUCCUGAGUAGCUGGACUACAGGUGCAUGCCACCACGCCCAGCUAAUUUUUGCAUUUUUAGUAGAGACGAAUUUUAUCGUGUUGGCCAGGCUGGUCUCGAACUUCUGACCUCAAGUGAUCUGCCCACCUCAGCCUCCCAAAGUGCUGGGAUUACAAGUGUGAGCCACUGUGCUCAGCCCAGAGUUCUUCACAUUUCCGAAAAGAAUGUAAAAAUAUCUCUUGCAGUGCUGAAAACAACAUACUCUCCACUCUAAAGGAUCCAGAGCCCCAGUGCAAGUGAUGAUAUAAGGAAGAUGUGUCCAGUGCUUAGAGGAGGACAGCCAACCAGCAAAAACACAACAGUAAAUGCUGUCUUCAUAGCAAAAUGCCAGGACUGUAGAAAGAGGAAACAAUGGACCCAAAGAUGUAGAAGUAGCUAAAUCCCAAACAACCAUUUGUUCAUCAAAAGAUAAAUACUGUCAUCUCUACCUCCAGCACAAAGAAAGCAUUAAUCCAUGGACUGACUCCUCUCAGGAGAAUUUAGCGUCUCAAGUGUGAAGUCUUUUCACUGGAGCUUGAGAUGAAGAAGAAGAGGGAAUUCUAAAGGUUCCCCAUCAUCCACCUACCCUGACCAUCCCCCCUAUUCUGGACCUACCCUUGACUAACAGUCACAUAGUGUAGGGAGUAGAGUACAGAAAGCAGAGGAUGUACUGGUUCAUUUUCCUGAGCCACUUACUAAUCACCUGACAGAAGGCGAGUCAUUUCAGCCAAAAAUAAUAACAGCCGUCAUCUACUGAAUCCCUUAAAAGUGCCCCCACUAGACUGAAAAUUCCUUGAGAUAAGGAUGGACUUACUUAUGCCCUCCCUUAAGUGACUACCAAAGUGCAAAUAGUUGGCACUCAAAAUACAUUCAUUGAAUAUAAAAUUGAGAUAAUUCUUUUUUCCUUUAUUUUUUGCCUGCUUCAUUUUUCCUUUAUAUAAAACUGGGAUCAUUCUGCCUUGCCCAUGCUGUAGGGUUUUUAUGAAGAUUAAAUGAGUGCAUUUCUAUAAAAACUUUUUGAGGUUAUAAAAUAUGCAAAUGUAAGGAAUCUGUCUGUUUUGGGUCUAGGAAAAAAGUAGAAAAAAGAAGAAAUGAAAAAGAUAAAAGAGAGCUGGGAGUGAGGUAGGCAGCUACAUUUGAAAGCAAUCUGAAGCCACUCAGAGGUGGAGGAAAGAGAUUUAAAUUGCUGCAAGAAUUUGAAGGCCACCUCCCACCCAGCCCAUCAGUCUUUCAGGGACUGUUCUUCAAGACUUACUCAAAGACAUUCUGUCCUAUGACCAACUUUAGGGUAACGGGGAAAAGAAUUAUGACAGUCACAUCAUAUGAUGAAAUGCCAAGUAGCAUUUCAAAGGUCACACUUCAGAAAGUCUGUUAAUGAUAUGGAAAGUGAUUAAGCACAAAUUAUGUAAUUUUAAAAAUAAAGCAGUUGAGAUCUUAAUUUUGUAAAUAUAUAUAUAUAAUAAAAACAUAUAGAAGCAAUGAGAAAAGACUGAGCAGAGAUCUAUCAAUAAGUUACCAGAAAUAUAUUAUUAUAAGUCAUUUUAAUUGUCUUUUAAAUAUAUAUGCAUUUUUAUACACUCUUCAAUGAAUAAGUGAAUAAUUGGAAAUAUAACUCUGUGUGUGUGUGUGUAAACAUAUUCUGUUCUUCACUGUUCUAGCCAGGAACUGAUUUAGAUCUGAAUCAAUUAUUCCAAGAACCAAAAUCACCAAGAACUGAAUCACAUCCAAUCACCUUGAACCAAGUCCCAGUUGGAAAAAAUGAGACCCAUAAUUCAGCUUUUUCGUUUUGUCAGCUGUAAGGCUAGAUUAGGCCCUUUCCCCUUCAACCCUGGAGGUUAGAUGCCUGGUUCCAGCAAUGGCUCUUCUUCUAAUAGCUCUGUGCUCUCAGACAUAUCACUGCCCCUCUCUGGGCCUCCCUCCUGUGCUGUAAAAUGAUGGAGCUGCAAUCGGGGCCGCCUGGGCAAUUGUUACGCCACUCAUGACCUUCUCUUGGUUCUUUUCCUCUGUGUUCUGCUUGUUCCGUUUCACUGCCCCUUACAAUUCUUCCCAAGGAAAAGAAGUGAAAUGCAAAUGAGUUUUUUGAGUUUUUGUUGACACCUCUAACUGCAGGUUGGAAAGCUUGGGGGCUUUGGCCCUGGUUGGGUAGGUUCUGCUCGCUGGGGAAUCAGGCCUGAGCUGGCUCUGAUCCCUCUCCCUUCUCCUAAUCACUGCCCUGGCUGCAGAACUCUGGGCUGGCACCAGAAUAGCAGCCAACAUUUGGCUGACACAGGACAUAAUUUUUAAUCAUGGGAAGGCAGACAUAAGUACAAAAGGCCUAUUUUCUUCACGCAGGUUCAAGUAUCUGCUUUUGGGUUAUGUCUGUCUGUAUUUGGCAGGGCUGGUCUUGGGGAAGUUCCGGGAUUCGUGAACAAAAGGUCAGUCUCCUUCCUUUUCCAGGAUGGAAGCGGCACAAAUUGUUCUGAUCAGGGAGCAAUAACAUGCAACGAUCCCCAGGGCUCCCAGGCAGGCGGAGGGGGCACCCAGUCUCAGCAGCCCGCGAUCUGCUUGGCCCCUGCGAGCUGCAUGCCUCACAUUUCCCCAGCUCCAGCCUCCUUUCAAAGGCCCUUUAUUAAACCACCAACUAUUUGCUGUCGAGACAUUUAGGAUGAAAUCAUUGUGUUAAACAAAUAAACGCAGCUUCGUCCAGAUUUCUGCUCUGGGAGCAGAGUAAGAAAAUAAUUUCUGUCUGCUCGCCACAAAAGCGGCUGGAAAGGUCCAAAGAAAAAUAUUAUUUUUACUCCAUUGUGUGAAAUAUUGUCCUGGAGGAUCUGACGGGCUGAGCGUUUGAAGAGUUUGUGCUGGCAGGUUUCAAGGGUCCCCUGGGUCGGCCCCCUGGGAUUGUUUUCUGCAUUAAUAAACUGAGCAUGAUGUGUGUUAAAAGGAACAUUCUGUUUGCUUUGUAAAUAAGGGAUGUCAAACAAGAAGCAGAAGCCUUACAGACACUAGGUGAUGUGUUCUCAGAGCGGGGAGAGGGAGGAGGGUGGGAGAGGCACCCUGGAAAAAUGGGCAUCACUGGGGCUCCCUGAACUGAGCGGAGGCCUUGUUGAGAAAACAAAUCAGUCUGUUUGAGUCCAAACCAGGCCACUUCCUCACUGAUCCUGGUGGGAAAGCUGAACACUUUGCCCUGAACCAGCAGGAUACGGGCUUGGGAAGGAAAGUUCUCAAGUGUCUGUCAGCUGUGUGGUGGAGGAGAGAUGAUGGCGCCUGGCAGAGGCCCUCCCCCUACCCGCACCCCCCUCCCCUCCCUUUUGGAGAAGGUUCUUGGCUUGCCGGGGUCUCCCAGAGCUGGAGGGCAGGAGGGGGCAGAGGUUAAAGCCAUAUCUUUGGGAAUGAUGAUGUGGCUCUCGCCCCCUCUAUCCCUCUCAUACUCCUUCCUCAGAUGUCACUGCAGCCCCAAGCGGGUUCCCCUGUCAAAUUCCUGACCGGUCCUUGGGGACGCUGACAUCGUGGGAGACACAUCACCCUGGCCCUGUGAUCCUUGCCUCUGCGGGAAACCUGCAGGAGCCAGGGCAGGAUGUGUACCGUCUCUGGCUCAAGUAUUUGCUAUUUUCACAGGUGCCUCCCCUGGCCCCGCAGCCCUCUCCGUUGUCCGCUGUCCGCUCCAAUGUUAUUGAAGGCUCCCCAGACCUCCCAGGCAUUCUCAUUUCCACCCGCUGCCCUGCUGCUGUCUUCCCUCUCUCCCUAAAUUCUCCCUUCCCCUCUGUGGUCCUCGGAGGAAUCCCUUGUCAUCCAUUUCUAUUCUGGAAAGUCCUGGCUCUCUCCUUGCCCAAAAGUUCAAACUGUUUCUUGAAGCUUUGGAAGAAGGGGACAACAGGGAAUCCUGAGUUCUGUUUAGUGAGCAUCAUAGACUCUCAGAGCUUCAAGGGUCUAGACACAGAAAUCAGGGGCCUGCCCCCAGGUACCAUUAGAAUCACCUGGAGAGCCUUUACAGGUUCUGUUUUCUGAGCCCACACCUGAGUAGUUCUGCUUCAGUUACCUUGCGGUGAUCCUCAAACCUCAAAACUUUGUAAAGUUUUGGUGACUCCAGCGGUGGCUAAUUUCAAGCACAGCAACCAAGCGCCCAAGCCAAAAC